rnacentral:rRNA from 1 species
UACGUAGAAGACUAGUGUUAUUCAAUCGUUAGGUAGGUUUAAAAGGGUAUCUAGACGGAAAUAGCUUAGACCCAGAAUGAGGGUACGGUACGUUUCUAGAGUUUAUAAGAGAAGAGGAGUAUUCAUAGUGUAGAGAUAAAAUUUGUUGGAUACGUUGACGACUGGUAAAGGCGAAAGCAAUCUUCUAUCUAAAAACUGACGGUUGAGGAC